UACGAAGGGGGCUAGCGUUGCUCGGAAUUACUGUGCGUAAAGCGCACGUAGGCGGAUUGUUAAGUCGGGGGUGAAAUCCUGGAGCUCAACUCCAGAACUGCCUUCGAUACUGGCGAUCUCGAGUUCGGGAGAGGUGAGUGGAACUGCGAGUGUAGAGGUGAAAUUCGUAGAUAUUCGCAAGAACACCAGUGGCGAAGGCGGCUCACUGGCCCGAUACUGACGCUGAGGUGCGAAAGCGUGGGGAGCAAACAGG
rnacentral:rRNA from 1 species